ensembl:misc_RNA Metazoa_SRP Metazoan signal recognition particle RNA
GCCGGGCGUGGUGGUGCAUGCCUGUAAUCCCAGUUACUCAGGAGGCUGAGUCAGGAGAAUCGCUUGAACCUGGGAGGCUUGCAGUGAGCUGAGAUUGUGCUACUGCACUCCAGCCUGGGUGACAGAGCAAGACUCUGUCUCAA